rnacentral:rRNA from 1 species
GAUGAACGCUAGCGGGAGGCCUAACACAUGCAAGCCGAGCGGUAGAGAUUCUUCGGAAUCUUGAGAGCGGCGUACGGGUGCGGAACACGUGUGCAACCUACCUUUAUCUGGAGGAUAGCCUUUCGAAAGGAAGAUUAAUACUCCAUAAUAUAUUGAUUGGCAUCAAUUGAUAUUGAAAGCUCCGGCGGAUAGAGAUGGGCACGCGCAAGAUUAGUUAGUUGGUGAGGUAACGGCUCACCAAGACGAUGAUCUUUAGGGGCCUGAGAGGUGAUCCCCCACACUGGUACUGAGACACGGACCAGACUCCUACGGGAGGCAGCAGUGAGGAAUAUUGGUCAAUGGGUGCAAGCCUGAACCAGCCAUCCCGCGUGAAGGACGACUGCCCUAUGGGUUGUAAACUUCUUUUGUAUAGGGAUAAACCUACCCUCGUGAGGUAGCUGAAGGUACUAUACGAAUAAGCACCGGCUAACUCCGUGCCAGCAGCCG